GAAAUGCGAUAAUUAAUGUGAAUUGCAGAAUUCAGUGAAUCAUCGAGUCUUUGAACGCACAUUGCGCCCCCUGGUAUUCCGGGGGGCAUGCCUGUCCGAGCGUCAUUGCUGCCCUCAAGCACGGCUUGUGUGUUGGGAUUCCGUCCCUGGCAACGGGGACGGGCCCAAAAGGCAGUGGCGGCACCAUGUCUGGUCCUCGAGCGUAUGGGGCUUUGUCACCCGCUCCCGUAGGUCCAGCUGGCAGCUAGCCUCGCAACCAAUCUUUUUAACCAGGUUGACCUCGGAUCAGGUAGGGAUACCCGCUGAACUUAAGC
rnacentral:misc_RNA from 1 species